GAAGCGGCCACACCCGGCUGGCAACAUCCAGCUCCACUCCGAACCUGGAAAUUAAGCAGUCGCGGGCCACAUCAGUACUGGGCUGGGCGACUUCCCGGGAACGUGCGGUGCUUGCUUCUUUUUCCUUUUGCGCGGUGCAGGGCUAUUGCCCUGCACCAAUACUACACUCUACACUAUGUUUGUCCCUGCUAAAACUCUUAUAUGUUGAGAUAUUUUAUAAUUUAUAUUUUUUAUUAAAAAAUGAAAAUUUUUCAUAAGCGAGACUCCCUCCGCUGGAGGAAAUUGAGAGUGGUAAUGGUAGUGUGAAUAGUGUGUGACGAACAAUCCUUUC
rnacentral:rRNA from 1 species